UGUGCAUGUCGCGCAGAAGGGCCCGGAUGGGAUGAACUCAGGGGGCCUCGCAGCCCACCAGGCUGCAGUUGGCUGCACCCACCUCCCUCGGCCGUUCUGGGCGUGGCUUUUAGGAGAUGGUGCGGGCCAGGGGCUAUCUGUUCUUACAGCAGUGUGGCAAUUUAUGCUCUUCCUUCUCUGUUUUUUUUUAGCUGUCUCCUUAAUCAGAAGAAAUGUUUUCUCCAUAGUCUCUGGAACUAAUUUCCUUAAUAUGAAUCUCAGCCUUAAAGAUAUUCUCUCUCAAAGAACUCGAGGCAACUAAAGACAGUGUCUCCCUUGCAAGUCCUGGACCAGGAUGAGUGUGAGUUCUGCAGGCUCUUUCCAUUCAGAGGCAAAGACCCUCGGACCAUGUCCACUGGACUUUGGCCUGUGGGGAGCUGCUGGGGACUGUGUGCUCCAUGUCCCUUUGGGGGCUCCUUAAGGGCCCUUAAAAUGUCAUAGCCUCUGACUCCGCUUUGUUACCAUUGGGAAUCUAUCCCAAAGAAAUAAACGGAAAUACAGUAAAAAGCUUUCUGGGUAAAAUACUCCUGUUACAGAGAUAAACGUACAAUAUAAACGUGAAAUACCGCACGUGGCCAACAACAGGGAGGCAGGUGGCUCCCUCUUAGGAUCUCGGCCGCCCACUUGAGAGCACGUGUAGGGAGACUCCAGGCACACAGGGAGCUUCGACAGCAUGGACGAUGGCAGCCACACGGAUAUAAAAAGAAUUCAUGGAAGAAGUUCAGAAGAAAGGAGAGGAGGCAUUAAUCGAAGGUAUAUUCCAGGAGAAAAAAAACAAUCCGCCACAAUCCGCCCACUCUGUUUUUCAGGUUCUCCUGUUUGCCGAAUGCGCACAUCACUGCAGUUACGAGCGAGGGCGCUUGAAGGACGUCCCCGGGCCGUGGAGAGCUGCGUGUUCAGGUCACGGCGAGUCGUCAGUGGCAGAAGAUUUUAUCUGGUAACAGAAGGAAGAAGGUGGGAAAGAAACUUACGGAUCAUCAUCAGCAGGUUCUGGUCUUUGUCUGAGCAGACAAGAUAA
rnacentral:lncRNA from 1 species